UAAUGCUUUGAGUAGUUUAGUUAAUAUAACAAAACAUAUUUCUUCUUUGAUUAUCAUAAAGAGAUUCUCCCUUUCGAGUGAAAUGGACUUUGAAGAGGAAAUGGGGUAUUGGGGAAAAUCAGGAGACAAGGGGUACAACAUCAGCCCCAUUGCGCAAGUUGCUAUCGGCGUCGGUAUUAUGAUAUGUUUCUUAAUUAUGAUGUUUAUAUUAGUCAAGGUUUGGAGAAAGGUCACAGUUAAAAGGCCUGAUAUAUAAUUACUUUAUUAUGAAAAAUGUUGGUAAUGGAAUGAAAUGAAUUUCAUAUAUAGUACUAUUUUAUUAUGAAAAAUGUUGUAAUGGAAUGAAAUGAAUAAAGUAUUAUUGUCUUUGA